CAGCGAAUUGGAAACAACAAGCAACACACUACAACACUGUUGAUGUUUGGUCCAGGACUUCUCGACAUUGAUUCACACAUGGAUGAGAUUUUUUUAAGACGUGAAUCAUUCUCAGCUCCACAGUAACCGCAAAAAUGUCAGACCCCGUGGUAGAUCACACAGGAUCGCACCCGCCUUGGAAAAGGGGCGAAGCCGUGGAGAAAAGGGAAGUCCGAGGCAUUCAAGGAAUGUCCUUCUCCCAGGCAAACGGGGAGGCGGAGGAAGCGAAAAUGUUUACAUUGAAAGUCAAGGUUCGCUGCAAGGGAGCGCUGACCGCGCCGCCGACAGCGGAGCAAUGAGGACGCGCCUCGGGGACGAGCGCCACAAGCACUACAAUGUCUGAGGGCUAGUCAACCGUCUUGGAUUAUGUGACACAUGGCCAGAAUAAAUAGUGGUUUCGCAACGCUCAUCGUUAUUAACGUCAGAACUACUGGCAUCUGUUUUUUUCCAUCCUAAAAUAAGUUGGGUAAUUUUGGAAGUUUGUGGCCAACUUUGAAACCGCAGGCGCAUGUCAGAGGUUCUCUUCAUUCUAUCAAAGGUUAAGUGAAUGUAUCAGGACAAUUGAAAGGAAGGCAAGAAACACGUAUUAAUGAACAUAUAUUAAGGGUUUUUAUUCAAUGAAAAGUGAAAUGUUAUUGGCAUGGCAUAUACAAAAAUUCCAUAGCAAAAAGUUCACAGCAACGUCUUAAUGGGCCAUCCAGCCAUUACAGGGCCACCAAAUAAUAACUUGAUUUUGUAUAAUUUCCACGAAUAAUUUAAGGACAAAAGGAAGUUUUCUUUGGCAUCACAAAUAGAAAACAAAAUAAAAAAAACAACAAUAUAUUAACAUCUCUCACUUCGGACAACCCUGAAUGUAAACAGAGUGUAAAUAGCGACACGGGGCUGUUUUUAGAACCAAUGGAAAUCAGCUACUUCAGCGUUGCCCAGCAACACUGAGCAGAAGACCACCCUGGUUUGGAAGGGAAACACCAGCGACCGUGGUGCACAUCACCCCAUGGAGCAGGCGGUCCCUGUGGGUAUUCUGACAGUACUACACUUGAAACAAAACAAACACUUUUAAAAAACAAGAGUAGUUUCAUCCUCGUGUGGAAUUCUUUUGCAACAGCCUGAAGGGAUGAAACACUUUAUCUGCAUGCUGAUGGUCGAUUGUUAUU